rnacentral:lncRNA from 1 species
AGGGAUCUGCUCUCCUGGGCAUUCCCAGGGCUGGCAGGAAUCUGCUCUGCUGGGCAUUCCCAGACAGGAAUCUGCUCUCCUGGGCAUUCCCAAGAUUGGCAGGAAUCUGCUCUCCUGGGCAUUCCCAGACAGGAAUCUGCUCUCCUGGGCAUUCCCAGACAGGAGUCUGCUCUGCUGGGCAUUCCCAGGGCUGGAGAUGCCAUCCCACAGCCCAGAGCCAGCUGUUGCUGGGACACAGGGCCAGGUGAUGGGCACAAAGUGUCACCCUGGCUCCUGCCAUGCUCUGGGCAGCGUUUUGUUCUCAUCCAAACACCCCCAUGGUCAGACAUCUCCAGUUUCUAUCCAAGAUUUUGUAUUUGCUGGGUGUAGGGGAAGGCACUUGAGUGUCUGAUGGGCCUCCUUGGGUGGCUCUUUGUGUUUGAAAAACCAAAUUGGGCUGAGCUCAGGGUGCUGGGCAGCCCCUCAGGGCUCACUGGGGACGUGCUGGUGGCUCUGUGCUCCCUGACAGCUCCUGGCUUCCUCCACUUGCACUGAGGGAAAUGAAAGCACAGAGGCCCCGUGUUCUGAGGGUGCUGAUGGAGCACAAAUCACCCAGGGAGGGUGAGGGUGAGGGGGCCUCGCUGCAUCCUGGUCAGGGAACAGAGCUCUGGAUGUUUUUGAUGGAAAAGCACUGAAUUCACUUUUAAUCCAAAGGCCUUUUUAAGCUGAAGCAAUAUUCCCCCAGCAGUGGGGCAGCUGAGAGGUGCAGGGGUGCUCAGCCUUCCCUUCCCUGUCCUUUGUACUUGUGCUCCCCUCCCUUCUCCCUGGGAGCCCAGCACUGGUGGUGGGGAGCAAAACAAUUCCUGGGGGGUUUUCCAAGGAACAGGAGGUGCCCAGG